AGAGUUUGAUCAUGGCUCAGGAUGAACGCUGGCGGUAUGCCUAACACAUGCAAGUCGUACGAGAGUUUUUAACUCAAGUGGCGGACGGGUGAGUAACACGUGAGAAUCUGCCUUUAGGAGGGGGAUAACAACUGGAAACGGUUGCUAAUACCCCAUAUGCUUUCGAGUGAAAUAGAUUUAUCUGCCUAGAGAGGAGCUCGCGGCUGAUUAGCUUGUUGGUAGGGUAACGGCUUACCAAGGCUAAGACGGGUAGCGGGUCUGAGAGGAUGAACCGCCACACUGGUACUGGAACACGGACCAGACUCCUACGGGAGGCAGCAGUGAGGAAUAUUGGGCAAUGGGCGAAAGCCUGACCCAGCCACGCCGCGUGAGUGAUGAAGGCCUUCGGGUCGUAAAGCUCUGUGGAGAGGGACGAAAAAGCACGGGAGGAAAUGCCCGUGCCUUGACGGUACCUCUUUAGCAAGCACCGGCUAACUCUGUGCCAGCAGCCGCGGUAAUACAGAGGGUGCAAACGUUGCUCGGAUUUACUGGGCGUAAAGCGCGUGUAGGCUGACACGCAAGUCGGUUGUGAAAUCCCAGGGCUCAACCUUGGAACUGCAUCCGAAACUGCGUGUCUUGAGUAAUGGAGAGGGUGGCGGAAUUAUCGGUGUAGGGGUGAAAUCCGUAGAUAUCGAUAGGAACACCAGUGGCGAAGGC
rnacentral:rRNA from 1 species